rnacentral:rRNA from 1 species
AGCGAACGCUGGCGGCAGGCCUAAUACAUGCAAGUCGAACGGCAGCACAGCAGCGCUUGCUCUGUGGUUGGCGAGUGGCGGACGGGUGAGGAAUACAUGGGAAUCUGCCCAGUCGUGGGGGAUAACGUAUGUAAACGUACGCUAAUACCGCAUGCGCCCUUUGGGGGAAAGCCGGGGACCUUCGUGCUUGGCGCGAUUGGAUGCGCCCAUGUUCGAUUAGCUAGUUGGCGGGGUAAAGGCCCACCAAGGCGACGUUCGAUAGCUGGUCUGAGAGGAGGAUCAGGCACGCGGGGACUGAGACACAGCCCAGACUCCUGCGGGAGGCAAAAGUAGGGAAUAAUGGACAAGGGGCGCAAGCCUGAUACAGCCAUGACGCGUGAGUGAAGAAGGCCCUCGGGGUGUAAAGCUCUUUUGUCCGGAAAGAAAAGCAUUCGGUUAAUAACCGGGUGUUCUGACGGUACCGGAAGAAUAAGCACCGGCUAACUUCGUG